AUUCAAUACAAACAGGCUUUCCUCAUCUCUAAGGAGAGAAAGUCUAGCAGAUAUGAUUCACAGCCAUCAGAAAUUUGAUGACCUCAUAUCUGCACUCCUAGAAAGGGUUCGGCUCUGCCAUUCACUCCAAAGGGCUAAGCCACCGGCACACCUGAGGUUAAGCCAAUAAAACACAGUAAUUCCUUCAUGCAACUCACCACAGCAGAAAAACAGCUCCCUUUUGCAAAAAUCAAAAAAGCUGAUCACUUUCAAAUUUUCUCUUGUCAUGGAGUAAAAAUUAAGGAAAAACAAUAAUGGUGAUACUACACCAGC
rnacentral:lncRNA from 1 species